AUUGAACGCUGGCGGCAGGCCUAACACAUGCAAGUCGAACGGUAGCACAGAGAGCUUGCUAUCGGGUGACGAGUGGCGGACGGGUGAGUAACGUCUGGGAAACUGCCCGAUGGAGGGGGAUAACUACUGGAAACGGUAGCUAAUACCGCAUAACGUCGCAAGACGAAAGUGGGGGACCUUCGGGCCUCACACCAUCGAAUGUGCCCAGAUGGGAUUAGCUAGUAGGUGGGGUAAUGGCUAACCUAGGAGACGAUCCCUAGCUGGUCUGAGAGGAUGACCAGCCACACUGGAACUGAGACACGGUCCAGACUCCGACGGGAGGCAGCAGUGGGGAAUAUUGCACAAUGGGCGCAAGCCUGAUGCAGCCAUGCCGCGUGUAUGAAGAAGGCCUUCGGGUUGUAAAGUACUUUCAGCGGGGAGGAAGGGAGUGAAGUUAAUAGCUUCACCGAUUGACGUUACCCGCAGAAGAAGCACCGGCUAACUCCGUGCCAGCAGCCGCCGUAA
rnacentral:rRNA from 1 species